UUCUCAUUCUCGCGGAUGAUGGUGUGACUCCCCUCAGUUCCAAUCCUCUCAAGGCUAGCGUCGGUACCUUUCACUUCAUUCUUCCUUCCGGGAGUUAAGUGGUUUAGCAACAGCAUAAUGGAAGGU
rnacentral:sRNA from 1 species